rnacentral:sRNA from 1 species
UGCCAGUUUUACAGGCUUUGGGGCUCUGAGAAAGUACCUGUCAGUCAUGAAGACGAUGUCGGUUGAUUUUCAUAGCCAUCCUGAGAGGCCUGAAGAAGAAAGGCAUUCACCACCCAACACCCAUCCAGAUCCAGGGCAUCCCCACCAUUCUAUCUGGCCGUGACAUGAUAGGCAUCGCUUUCACGGGUUCAGGCAAGACACUGGUGUUCACGUUGCCCGUCAUCAUGUUCUGCCUGGAACAAGAGAAGAGGUUACCCUUCUCAAAGCGCGAGGGGCCCUAUGGACUCAUCAUCUGCCCCUCGGUAAGAUAGGCUGGCCUGGAGGGCAGGCCAGAGAUUGGGGCUGCCAUCUGGUGCCAGCCUUUGUCCCUCUGCCUGCAGCGGGAGCUGGCCCGGCAGACCCAUGGCAUCCUGGAGUACUACUGCCGCCUGCUGCAGGAGGACAGCUCACCACUCCUGCGCUGCGCCCUCUGCAUUGGGGGCAUGUCCGUGAAAGAGCAGAUGGAGACCAUCCGACACGGUGUACACAUGAUGGUGGCCACCCCGGGGCGCCUCAUGGAUUUGCUGCAGAAGAAGAUGGUCAGCCUAGAUAUCUGUCGCUACCUGGCCCUGGACGAGGCUGACCGCAUGAUCGACAUGGGCUUCGAGGGUGACAUCCGUACCAUCUUCUCCUACUUCAAGGGCCAGCGACAGACCCUGCUCUUCAGUGCCACCAUGCCGAAGAAGAUUCAGAACUUUGCUAAGAGUGCCCUUGUAAAGCCUGUCACCAUCAAUGUGGGGCGCGCUGGGGCUGCCAGCCUGGAUGUCAUCCAGGAAGUAGAAUAUGUGAAGGAGGAGGCCAAGAUGGUGUACCUGCUCGAGUGCCUGCAGAAGACACCCCCGCCUGUACUCAUCUUUGCAGAGAAGAAGGCAGACGUGGACGCCAUCCACGAGUACCUGCUGCUCAAGGGGGUUGAGGCCGUAGCCAUCCAUGGGGGCAAAGACCAGGAGGAACGGACUAAGGCCAUCGAGGCAUUCCGGGAGGGCAAGAAAGAUGUCCUAGUAGCCACAGACGUUGCCUCCAAGGGCCUGGACUUCCCUGCCAUCCAGCACGUCAUCAAUUAUGACAUGCCAGAGGAGAUUGAGAACUAUGUACACCGGAUUGGCCGCACCGGGCGCUCAGGAAACACAGGCAUCGCCACUACCUUCAUCAACAAAGCCUGUGAUGAGUCAGUGCUGAUGGACCUCAAAGCGCUGCUGCUAGAAGCCAAGCAGAAGGUGCCGCCCGUGCUGCAGGUGCUGCAUUGCGGGGACGAGUCCAUGCUGGACAUUGGAGGAGAGCGCGGCUGUGCCUUCUGCGGGGGCCUGGGUCAUCGGAUCACUGACUGCCCCAAACUCGAGGCUAUGCAGACCAAGCAGGUCAGCAACAUCGGUCGCAAGGACUACCUGGCCCACAGCUCCAUGGACUUCUGAGCCGACAGUCUUCCCUUCUCUCCAAGAGGCCUCAGUCCCCAAGACUGCCACCACUCUACACAUACAGCAGGCCCCUGGACAGAAUCAGCAUUCCAGCUCAGCUGGCCUGGAAUGGGCCAGGCUGGUCCUGGCUGCCUGUUCCCUGUGCUCUUCAGAAUUACUGUUUUUGUUUCCUUUCACCCCAGCUGCCA